GAUUAGGAUUUCUACAUUUAGAACGAUUAUGACCACUCUGAUCAGAUCGGCUACAUUUGUAAACACGCACAUCUUGAAAUUAUAUUACUGGAAAGUAUUU